GGCUGAAAGUACCUUUGCUUCUUCCCGUUUCCAGUCCUGCCGAAGGCUCAUUCGGGAGGGUCCGACGGCUGCGUCCAGUAGAGCCCGGGGGCUGCGCACUUUGAGCGUGGUAUCUGAGAACGAGUCUGUGAAGCUGAGGAGGCUGAGUUUGGGGCAGAUCAGGCAGAUCUACAUCGCCCACACCCAAGAGACUGGAUUUGUGUCCCGACUGCCUGGGAAUGGGUGGCUGCCACACAGAAGCCCAGGCCCACCCACCUCGUGGACAGAUACCAGCAGCCUCGGCAGGGUAGCGCCUAUCCUCCUCACCUGCCUCCACAGAAGUUCAAAGUUGCCAAUGUCACAGUUUCGGUCCAGUUUGCGGUCCACCACAACCUUGAUGGUACUCCUGGAAGCGGGUGCUGGUCCACAUGUUAUGGCCAGGGAGCAGCGGGCUGCGCUCCUUGUCAUUCUUGAGGCGCCUCUGAAUGGAGUUGUUGCACAGGUGGAUGGCGCUGUGGGCAAUGUGCUUGUGAGACUGGUGUAUGCCAACAACCAUAACACGGAGCCAGCACUGUCUGCCCAGCUUGCCCUGACGUCACUUUGCCUCGUGCAGGGUUGCUGCAGAAGGUGUGGGCUAGUGGUUUUUGGACUGUUAGCUCUGCUACCCAGAAGCAGCCAUGGACCCCUCAACCAGCCUGGAGGAACAGCACAGACUGUACCAAGACAGAGCAGAAGCCCACCAAUGCAGAACCAACCACUAGGAAAAAUAAUCAGCCUAAGCCUCAGUUUCCCCAGAGGCACAUGUCAGUAGGAGGAUGUGAACCACCUACCUAAAGUUUCCAGUGAGUUACUUUAUACUUCCACCUUGCUCUAUACGGACUUCAAACAAGCAGUCCUUUUUAGAAGACUGUAGGACACUGUUCGGAGCUAAGGGUAUUUUCAUUUGAACUGCAGGUAUAAGGCAGGCAGUUCCAGAGUGAGGCCGGCCCCACAGCCACAUGUAAGAAAGGUGAACAUUUAAAAGACAC